rnacentral:lncRNA from 1 species
GUUUAUUCUCCCUUCUUUAUCAUCAGAAAGUUGCUUCUCCUUCUCCUCUCUCAAAAUUAUAAAGUGUUCCUGUGAAGAUUUCUUCUAUGAAAAUUUUGAAACGAACCUCUGUAACAAGGUACGAUCAUAGAGUGAAAUUUAUAGUUUAGUUCGUGUAUUAACAUGUGAUUAAACUAUUUGAAUAUGAUGAUCCUGUAAACUAUGUGCUUGAUUUAAUUCUUCAGUACCUAUAGUCAUUGCAGAAGGAAGUGCAUAUUGCAGGAGAAGCACAAACUGAUAUAAGGAAUCUGAUCCAACCAACCCCAAAUGGCGUGCAGUUUUGACAACACAAAUGCCUGAUAAUGGCAUUGCCACAUAACGUACUACCUGUAUGCCUAUCACAACCCGCAUACCUACUGCUGACUUUUUCAGCCCUGCACUUAAAAAUAAAUACACGACUGAGUUUAUAGCGUAAAUAAAUUUCCAUAUUAUUAAAUCACAUAAGAAAGAAUUUUUGGUAACCAUCUAAGUUUAAUGUAUCUUCUACUGUCAGGAAUUACCUCUAAGAAGAUUUGCUCCAACUAUCAAUGUCAUGGCUGGUAUUGCAGCCUCUCUGCAGCGCAUAACACGUAGCAUUGAGUGAGUUGUCAUAUAUACAAGCCAUUCAGCUUUGUUAUAAGCUCAUUUAAUUAGGUUUCAUACCCUAGCAUAGAUGCAGAGCUAUCAAUCACAUGCAAUGGAGCCUCAUUUCCAAUCAUCAGCUUUCUUAACAGGGACGUUACACCAAUGAUGAUUCCAACAAUCUGUAGAGAUUACAAUUGCCAGUGUGCAGUUUAUAGCGUCAAAUUAAUGAGUGUUAUUCUGAUACAUAGGAUUCUGAAUACUGUAGAAAGU